GACGAACGCUGGCGGCGUGCUUAACACAUGCAAGUCGAACGGAAAGGCCCUGCUUUUGUGGGGUGCUCGAGUGGCGAACGGGUGAGUAACACGUGAGUAACCUGCCCUUGACUUUGGGAUAACUUCAGGAAACUGGGGCUAAUACCGGAUAGGAGCUCCUGCUGCAUGGUGGGGGUUGGAAAGUUUCGGCGGCUGGGGAUGGACUCGCGGCUUAUCAGCUUGUUGGUGGGGUAGUGGCUUACCAAGGCUUUGACGGGUAGCCGGCCUGAGAGGGUGACCGGCCACAUUGGGACUGAGAUACGGCCCAGACUCCUACGGGAGGCAGCAGUGGGGAAUAUUGCACAAUGGGCGGAAGCCUGAUGCAGCAACGCCGCGUGCGGGAUGACGGCCUUCGGGUUGUAAACCGCUUUCGCCUGUGACGAAGCGUGAGUGACGGUAAUGGGUAAAGAAGCACCGGCUAACUACGUGCCAGCAGCCGCGGUGAUACGUAGGGUGCGAGCGUUGUCCGGAUUUAUUGGGCGUAAAGGGCUCGUAGGUGGUUGAUCGCGUCGGAAGUGUAAUCUUGGGGCUUAACCCUGAGCGUGCUUUCGAUACGGGUUGACUUGAGGAAGGUAGGGGAGAAUGGAAUUCCUGGUGGAGCGGUGGAAUGCGCAGAUAUCAGGAGGAACACCAGUGGCGAAGGCGGUUCUCUGGGCCUUUCCUGACGCUGAGGAGCGAAAGCGUGGGGAGCGAACAGGCUUAGAUACCCUGGUAGUCCACGCUGUAAACGGUGGGUACUAGGUGUGGGGUCCAUUCCACGGGUUCCGUGCCGUAGCUAACGCUUUAAGUACCCCGCCUGGGGAGUACGGCCGCAAGGCUAAAACUCAAAGGAAUUGACGGGGCCCCGCACAAGCGGCGGAGCAUGCGGAUUAAUUCGAUGCAACGCGUAGAACCUUACCUGGGUUUGACAUGGAUCGGGAGUGCUCAGAGAUGGGUGUGCCUCUUUUGGGGUCGGUUCACAGGUGGUGCAUGGCUGUCGUCAGCUCGUGUCGUGAGAUGUUGGGUUAAGUCCCGCAACGAGCGCAACCCUUGUUCACUGUUGCCAGCACGUUAUGGUGGGGACUCAGUGGAGACCGCCGGGGUCAACUCGGAGGAAGGUGGGGAUGACGUCAAGUCAUCAUGCCCCUUAUGUCCAGGGCUUCACGCAUGCUACAAUGGCUGGUACAGAGAGUGGCGAGCCUGUGAGGGUGAGCGAAUCUCGGAAAGCCGGUCUCAGUUCGGAUUGGGGUCUGCAACUCGACCUCAUGAAGUCGGAGUCGCUAGUAAUCGCAGAUCAGCAACGCUGCGGUGAAUACGUUCCCGGG
rnacentral:rRNA from 1 species